UUACUAUUGUUAAUUAUUAUUAACAAUGGGUAAUAUCAAAUUGUUUGAAAUUAUUAAAAAUAAUGUUAUCUCUGCUAGACAUUACAUUGUAUCAUACUAGUGUUGUAAUAUUAUAAUUAUAUAACUAGUCAAAUGUAAUAAUAGUAUUUUGUACUAUACAUAAAUUACUAUCGUUAAAAUAUCAUAUUCUAUAUUAUUAAUUGCAUAUAGAAUUUAAUGUUGCGCACUUUCUUCACCCGCUUCUUGUGCAUUGAUUUUGAUCAAGCUUGGCACAAAUAUAGAACUCGACGAGUUUCAGUACUUGUCGAAACUGGAAUUUUUAAAUUUGGCCCAGAAUUGAAGAGAUUUGAAAUCGAAGUUAGCCCAAAUUAAUUUUUCUAUUGUGUUCUUUACAAUUUAAUUGCCUUCUACUAACAAAUAUUUGCAAAUUUCAAAUUCUCUGUACAAAUGUCGCGGACAAUAGGAAAAAUAAUAACAUUACUUUAGUUGGUUAUAUAUGUAUAUAUAUAUAUAAUAUAUUUGGCAAAAUAUGGUGCUUACGUUUUUACGUAUAAAUAUUUUACACGUACAACGAUUAUAGAAUAGUUGGUUUUGUACAUAGUUGGUAAGUGUAGUUCAUAAGCAAAUGCCUAGAAAAAUUCGAUACAAAAAGAUAUAGUCCGAGUUACAGUCACAGGUCUUUUGUACCGCAUUUCUAUCUUCAGUUCGAUUGUGGUACCAUAGACUAAUUUAGUCCUUGAUGGCACACUAAAAUACAUAUUAUGAGUUACUAAACAAAAUCGCAGUUUAAAAGGAACAGGUCCUAAAACUGAUAAUAUCUACGCAUGAGCACAUACUUCGACUAAUUUACAACAAACAUUAAUCUAAAUUGAUAAGUAAUUGAAUUUUUGCAAGUAGUAAAAAUAGUCGAAAAUGUGAUUACAAAAAUUAUGUAAGAACGUAACUUAAACGUUCUUUAUAAUUGAUUUUUAUAUUGAAACUAACAAUUAUAGUGGAGGUACUACGGCGGAGUAUUGUGUAGUACAAAAAGUACAAAAAAAAUGGCAAUAUUUUAUUGUGAAAUGAAUAAUUAAAAAAUUUGUAAGCAUAUCGAGAACCGCAUAAGUGCAUGUAUUUCGACAAUUCUGUAUUCGCGCGCUCAAUUCGGAAGUGUGGCGAACAGCAGGGUCGUCGGUCAAGAAGAGUUCUGUUUGCAUUUAUGAACAAAUGAUUAAUGUUUAAAGCAAUCAUCGUUUGAUCGUUUUCAAUUUUACUUAAAAAAACAAAAUCGUUUACUAUUCAUUUUGUAAUUAAACCUUCAUUCAAGAACAUGUAUUAAAAUAAAAUUCCGAAUCAAUUUUUUGUUUGUAAAGUUUUGCGAUUAUUCGCUAGAUGGCACUAGUGGUACUGUUCCCAAAAAGAGCGCGUGAAAAUAUAAAUCGUGAAAUAUUUAUCCGAUAUUCUUUAAACUUUUUACAUUAAUCGCUUCACAAUGAUCUAUUGUCUUGUAUGUGCUUCUUAUACAUUAGGUUGUCGCGGUUCUUACGUUGUAAGUGUAAAUUGCACUGCAAUAUUCAAUUGUAAUAAACAUUAAUUUAUAUUCUUGCGUAAUUUCUGUAAGCACUUUUCUAACAUGUAAAGUAAAUAUAACAGCUUACUUUAAAUUAUAAGCGCGUAGUACUUUUAAAAGUGUUAUUAUUUAUUGAUUUUGGAAAUGCCUGUUAUUAAAAUAAGCAUGAAGACUAUUACAGGCGGCAGGGACAUAUUCCUGUUAGCUGCCAUUUUCCCGAGGGAAGCCUGAUUUGCUCUUGAUUGUAUAUACAAUACAAAUAUAUAAUUUUAUAAGUCAAUAAGAACAUUAAUACUUAUCAAUGGUAACGAAUAAAGUAAGGAAAAUAAACAUAUUCGACACAAUGGCAUUGGACAUCCAAGGUUCUCUUAGAGAAGCUCUGUACGAGACAUUGACCGGAAUAUUAUCUCCUCAUCGGGAAACUCGUCAAGCAGCGGAACAAAGGAUACAAGCGUUGGAAGUUACAGAGGAGUUUGGUAUACAUUUAACAGAGUUUGUAGUAGAUCCUAAUGGACACCUACCUAUCAGACAGUUAGCAUCCGUAUUGUUGAAACAAUACGUGGAAACACAUUGGUCUUCUAUGGCUGAAAAAUUUCGUCCUCCUGAAAUAAGACACGCGACAAAGGAAAGAAUUAAAGAAUUACUGCCACUAGGUCUUCGGGAAUCAAUUAGUAAGGUACGAGCAGCUGUAGCUUAUGCGAUAUCGGCAAUCGCGCAUUGGGAUUGGCCCGAAAAUUGGCCAGGUCUAUUCGAUAUACUCGUCAGUUGUUUGAGCGGAGAAAGCGAAUACGCCGUACACGGAGCAAUGCGAGUUUUGACCGAAUUUACUUCCGAUCUUACCGACAAUCAAUUACCUAAUGUGGGACCAGUGAUUCUUCAAGAAAUGUAUAGAAUAUUUCAGAGCGAAAAUCAAUACUCCAUUAGAACUCGAGGGCGCGCGGUUGAAAUUUUUACGACGAUCACGUCGUUAGUUGCCGCUACGGGAGUAUAUCAAAAAGGAUUUACAGAACAAUAUCUACAACCAGUUAUUCCGAUGUUUUGCGAGAAAUUUGUACAAUGUUUGCGAGUUCCUGAUGGUCCAACCAGCGACAGCGGGCUUAAAACCGACGUGAUCAAAGCUAUAAAUUGCCUGGUCACCAAAUUACCUAAAUACGUGUCGAGUUUCUUACCUCAGAUGUUACCGCCUGUUUGGGAAACUUUAACGCAAAGCGCGAAAAUUUAUCAAGAAGGAUCGGUGAACGGAGAUGGGGAUACAAAUAAUAAAGAGGUCGAUUCGGAUGGCGAGGUGAUCAACUUCAGUAACUUGAUCAUCGCGAUAUUCGAGUUUGUUCAUUCUAUCGUGGAUCGUAAACGUUUCUCGAACCUGUUGGAUAAUUUACUGCAAGAAUUAAUGUACUACCUAGUUAUUUUCAUGCAAAUAACCGACGACCAAAUCGAACAAUGGACGACGAGUCCGAAUCAGUUCGUCGAGGAGGACGACGUAUUCGCUUACAACGUUCGCAUUUCUGCGCAAGAGUUAUUAACGGCGCUCGUUAAUUAUUCCGAGGAAAAAGCAGUGAACGCGCUUUGCGAGGUAGUGACGCGUCACGUCGAAGCAACGAAUAGAUUACGAACAGCGAACGACGGAACCGAGAGCAACGAGACGUGGUGGAAACUACGAGAAUCUUCGAUUUUAGCCUUAAGUAAAAUAAAGGAUGCCGUCGUUGAGAAACAACAGGCUGGAAUGCUUCGGUUCGACAUCGUUCGAUUUUUAGACACGAUCGUUCUAGCUACUCUAAAGGACUCGGAAGCAUCGUCGCUACUUCUUGGUCGUUGUUUGUGCGUCGGUGGAAAAUACGCGGAGAUAAUGCCACCAGAAAUGAGUUCGCGUUUCCUGGAGGCAACAGUUAACGGACUGCAAGAAAAUCAACCUGCUUGUAUCCGUAUCAGCGCGGUAAAGGCCAUUUAUUGGUUUUGCAAAGCAUCGACGACGGAAAGUAACAACACGCUCGGCAAUAUUAUACGAUCUCAUUUGCCGAACAUAUUUCAAGGGCUGUUUAAUCUAGCCAAUCAACCCUCCACCGAAAUCUUGACGUUAGUCAUGGAAACUUUGCAAGUGUUGGUUCUGUUGGACAAGGCGUUCACCGGUUCGGUGGAGAACAAAGUGUGUCCGCUGACGAUCGCCGUGUUCCUGAAAUUCUACAGCGAUCCAGUGAUAUUGGAUCUGUGUCAAGACAUCUUCAAAAGUUUGACUCAGAAUUCCGAGUGCAUAGGACCGUUGCAGACUCGUCUGAUACCUACGUUGACCAGUAUGAUGGCCGUAACACCGAUGGAUAAAUCGAAGGACGAGAAAUGUCGGAACGUAGCUUUGGACGUUCUGCAGGUGCUGGUACAGUACUCACCGCGACCAUUGAGCAGCGCGUUGGUCGAAACGGCGUUCCCUGCCGCGUGUCAUUGUAUUCUGAAUUCAGACGACAACGAAACGCUGCAAAGCGGCGGUGAAGUGAUACGCACUUACCUGUCGGUGGCCGCUCGACAGGUGAUGGAGCAUCGGGACAACGACGGGCAAACGGGUUUACAGUACAUACUGCAAAUAGUCGGGCAGCUGUUGAAUCCGCAGUCGAGCGAGUUUACGGCUACUUUCGUGGGACGGCUGGUGACGACGUUGAUCAGGAAAGCGGGUAACACGCUGGGCGAGAAUCUCGAUCUGUUGUUAAAGGCUGUGUUGAGUAAAAUGCAGCGGGUCGAAACGUUGACCGUGGUACAGAGUUUACUCAUGAUAUACGCUCAUCUGAUAAACACCGAGUUUGACGCGGUCUUAAAUUUUCUGUCAACCGUACCGGGCCCGACAGGACAAAGCGCUCUCGCUUUCGUGCUCUCCGAAUGGGUCAGCAGGCAACACUUAUUCUUCGGUAGAUACGACCGAAAAGUGGCAACGGUCGCGCUUUGUAAGAUAUUAGAGUACGGCGUUACUCACGGCGAUAGUCGACUCAACGAAAUCACCGUCAAAGGAGACCAGAUAUUUUCAGGUUCGUAUCUUUACACCGUACAUUAGCCCACGCGCAUAUUAGGAACACCGGUAAAAGCGAUAAGCGACGAACGGGGAACCGAAGUCGAGGAGAAUAAUAUUUUCAGCGCGCAUCAUCUCGUUUCGAUGUGUUCACCGGAAACGAGGAAGGCGUGAGGACUAGGAGCAAAGCCGAAUCACAGCCUUAUCAGUGGACCACCGUGCCAGUUUUGGCCAAGAUAUUCAAG
rnacentral:misc_RNA from 1 species